AUUUAAAUAGUUUAAAAAAAACAUUGAUUUGUGAUAUCAAAAAUAUUUAUUAUUUUAAAUU
rnacentral:tRNA from 1 species